AAGCGAUGGAUGAUGUCGGUGAAGAACUGUACCGCCUGUUCGGACUUGAUUUGCGCAACUGGUCGUGCCUCGAUCCACUUGGAGAACUUGUCGACGGCGACAAGCAGGUGGGUGAAGCCCCCGGGCGCCUUCUUGAAGGGCCCGACAAGGUCCAGCCCCCAGACCGCGAAGGGCCACGUGAUGGGGAUCGUCUGGAGCGCCUGUGCAGGC
rnacentral:lncRNA from 1 species